AGGAAAAGGUAAGAGAAAAGACUAGAAGAAUUUACUUGAAGCAAGGCAAUUUAAGGAGAACAACAAGAUGAAUCUUCACUGGAAAGGUUACUCUACUGAGCCAUCACCACAGAUUUUUGAGAGAGAAAGAGAGAAAAAAAAAAAGAGAGAAAGAGAUGAAGAAAACAAAUGAAUAAAAGAGAGACUACCCCAUUAAAACAGGAAUAUGGUAAGAAAAAUAAAUCAC